rnacentral:tRNA from 1 species
CGCGGGGUAGAGAAGUGGUAUCUCAUAGGGCUCAUAACCCUAAGAUCGCAGGUUCAAUUCCUGCCCCCGCAA